GGGGUUGUAGCUCAAUGGUGGAGUGCUUGCCUCAAAUAUAUGGGGCCCUGGGUUCGAUCCUCAGCCCCA
rfam:Ictidomys tridecemlineatus contig037391, whole genome shotgun sequence.